CAUUUUCAAUAACCAUGUUACUUUGAUUAUUUUCAGACUCGUUUGACAAAGACUGUGUAUCCAUGUCAUCUGUCUCUAUGGACUGAUCAGAAUGCGAAGCACCUGAUUCCAUACGGGAUUCAUUAUCAAGCAUCAGAAACAUCAGAUUCAUCGUUACUGCUUGAGCUAGAAUCAUCUGGAGGUAUCACAUAGUUAACCCUUCGUCUUGGAUAACCUUUGACAGCUUUACGUUCGGGCCAUUCAGCAAUGUCAGCAAGCCUUAUCUGAUCUGCAUGUACUUGAACAACUGAAUUGUCAAGCUGGUUCUUAAUAAGGACCUCCCUAAAGGCAGAACUUGUAAAUUCUGACCCUCGGUCAUGAAUUAUCUGGAGAGGACAUCCAUAUCUAGGAUAUAUCUCAUUCAAAAAUUCUGGUGGGCGUGAAAAGAAAUCAGCAAUAACAUUUGCCUUUCCUGGAAGAUACUCUAUCUUACAGUUGUAACCACUAAUAGACAAUGCCCAUAACUGAAUUUUCUUGUUUUGUAUUGGGCUUUUUAAUAAAUACUGAAGCGGAG
rnacentral:lncRNA from 1 species